AUUGCCUGAGCUCAGGAGCUGGAGACCAGCGUGGGCAACACGGUGAAACCUCAUUUCUACUAAAAUACAAAAAAAAAAAAUUAGUUGGGCAUGGUGUCAUGUGCCUGUAGUCCCAGCUACUCGGGAGGCUGAGGUAGGAGAAUUGCUUGAACCCGAGAGACGGAGAUUGCAGUGAGUCGAGAUCGCACCAUUGCACUCCAGCCUGGUCGACAGCGCGAGACUCCAUCUCCGUAAAAAAAAAAAAAAGUGAU
rnacentral:lncRNA from 1 species